GUAACUGCGAAGUUACAUCUGAAGGAAGCGAGACUACAAUCCCGAUACCUAUCGGGACCGGUACUGACGAACAGGAACCGUAUACAGAGGCAUAUUUACUUGGGUAAGCAAGCACAUCAUUGUAACGCCCAACGAUUACCAAAAGGGUAGGUAUGUAGAUACGGCAGGAAUCGAGUGAAAGAAGAUGUU
rnacentral:ncRNA from 2 species